AUUUUCUUCCAGCAUUUCAGAAAUAGCAGUGGUUCACAGCAGCCAUUGCAAAUACCAGCAGUCUGAUCCCACAUCCUCACCCGCAGAUGUCAGAGCAACGGCAGGACCCUUGGAGAUGAGUUUCUUUGUUCAAUUAAGCUUAGGAUUUUAAUCCUGACCACAUCAGAUGAAACACUUUAACUAAUUUCGAAAAAAUACAGUGGAUCAUAGCUCCACGAGGCAGAGAUCCGGUCUGCUUCAGCUAUGUAUCAGCACCGUGGGCAGUGGUUAGAGUAUAGAAGGUGGUAAACGAUGGAUCACCAACUGGUUUUCAUUGGAAGGACAACAAGGAAAAGAAUUACUCUUGCAAAAGACUCCAGAUGUCCACAGCAUUCUAGAACAGAUGAAGAAGUAUGGUCAUCACACUUAAUAAGCAAUUAUCACUGGAAAACAUGUACUCUCCUUUCCUAACUUCCAUCACUGCCAUUGUGUGCGGCUGAGAGCGGACACGCGGAGCUGUGCCGGGAGAAACGGGGCUGAAGUCUUCACCACAAGGGUCAUUAGUUCAGUCAAACACUGAAUUCAAUGGAAUACUGCACUUUUUUGGCUGGGAUAUGCAUGUAAUGGAAUGGAGCGCUUUUAAAGAGAAUUGUCUCAGAUGGUAGUUGUUCUCCAAAAAAGAUAAAAAAAUACCCUAAGUAACAGAAAGAAUGCAAUAAGAAAAUUACAACCC